CGCGGGGUGGAGCAGUGGCAGCUCGCUGGGCUCAUAACCCAGAGGUCGUCGGUUCGAGUCCGACCCCCGCAA
rnacentral:tRNA from 1 species